rnacentral:rRNA from 1 species
GCAGCCGCCACGGGAAUACGGAGGGUGCAAGCGUUAUCCGGAUUCACUGGGUUUAAAGGGUGCGUAGGCGGAUCUGUAAGUCAGUGGUGAAAUCUCCAGGCUUAACCUGGAAACUGCCGUUGAUACUAUAGGUCUUGAAUUUUGUGGAGGUUAGCGGAAUAUGUCAUGUAGCGGUGAAAUGCAUAGAUAUGACAUAGAACACCAAUUGCGAAGGCAGCUGGCUACACAACUAUUGACGCUGAGGCACGAAAGCGUGGGGAUCAAACAGGAUUAGAUACCCGCGUAGUCCCUGUCUCUUAUAC